CAUCGGGAACACGAGGCCGGGUGCCCUCGCCCGAAGGGUGCCCUGGUUGGAGCAUCCUUGAAGGCAGAGCAGGGCUGAACCUUGGGAACAGAGCCGGGCACGGGGCAGGGAGCCCCCAAGGGGCUGUGUUAGCCACGUGGCUGCAUCCCAGGAAAACGAGCCCAUCGGGCCAGAGGGGAGCUGAGCGCACCCGGAUUGGCACCUUGGGGUGGUGCUGGCACGUCCCCAUCACCCUGCACUCCUCGCCACCUCCAGCCCCAAGUGCCAGGUGCCCCCGCCUGCUCUCGCAUCACACAGGGGGGCACCCUGCCCGCAGCACCCAGCCCGGCUCUGGGGACCUGGACGCCCCCUGCCCAGCUGCCCUGAGCCAUUACGGAGGGAUUUCACCCCAAAGCCCUUCCAUUCGUUCCCAAGGCACCUGGCUCAGCGCUCAGCAACGCGCCUGCUGUUUGCCGUGCCGCCCCCCCGCCGGGGCACGCCGGCUUGUUUACCGGGCUUACAGGAGAAGCUGUCCCGGCUGCUUUUUAUCACUCCUCAUUGCAUUUACACUGCCAGGGUAAACAGGGCCCAUCUGGCCCUGCCGCGCUUCCCGCACGCUGCUCUAAGCCCCGAGGUAAUGAAUAAAACCAGGCCCGCAGGUCCUCGCCCCGGCCUCGGCCCCCGGAGCAGCAAAUUGUCCCCGGUGCCAACGCGGCAUCGCCAGCGGGGCCCCGCUCGCCACCUCCAGCACAGCCACCGGCACCUUCACAGCCCCCUCCUCAUCCUCCCUGCCCAUGGAGCUGCGAUGAACACCAAGCCGCACCAAACCCAGAGCAGAGCCGAGCUGAACGGGCACAGAGCAGGGAGAAGUGGCAGCGGCGGGGCGAGCCGUCCCCGGUCCUCAGCAGCAGGUGAUUUCAGAGCAGAGCAUCGGCUGGAUCUCACUCCCAAACCAUCGCAGGCUUCGGGCUCCUCGGCACCGGAUUUGGAGGCGGUUGCAGAAGCAGCAAAGGAUGAAGACCUCUGUUGGAAGACGCCUUUUGCCGCACGUGGUACCGCAGGGCACGCUUCCUCCUCCCGGCUCGUUACACUGCACUUUAGCCAGCACAAUUAGCUGGUGGAGAGGCACUCCGCGGGUCCCCUGGGUGCCUUGAAGAGCGCACUGAGCCGUUCCCUUCCCCUGCGCUGGAGGCUCCAGCACGCCGCCUCCUCUCCCUCUUCUGCACAGCGCUGAAGCGUGCGGCUGCCCUGCUUCCCUGGCGUUUAGGGCUGCAGUGCGAGGGGGCUCACCGUACAUUCCCCCGUGCCGGGUGCCACCCCAUAACCACACAUUCCCCCGUGCCGGGUGCCACCCCAGCGAGCUGCCGCAGGCACAAGGCGCCCUGCAGCGCGCACAAGGCUCCCGCACCCACGGCAAGCACCGCGACCGCUCCAGCGCCGGCAAAAAAAAAAAACAAACCCGCAAGCUUUGAUUUUUCUCGGAGAUAUUGUUUCUAGGCCAAAGCGACGCUAAGAAAAGCUUCCAAACGCGAGCGCUGGGUUGGUGCCACCAGCUGGGGCGACGCGGGGCUCGGGUGCAGCAGAGGCUGUGGGCAGCCCCCGGCGGUACGGCGGGUGGAUAAAUGCAGCCGUGCCCGGGGUCGGGGAUGCAGCGGUGCCUCCCGAGCCGGCCGGCAGCCCCGGGGAGAGGCCGGCUGCCUCCAUCCCAGUGCUCGCAGCAGCGUGAGACAACAGCCGGGCGCUCCCUGUUCUGCACAGUCACUGCUCCGCCGCUGCGGCCAGGGAGCAGCCCUCGCUGCGAGGCUGGAAACAGAGCUGAGAGAGCUCGGUGCAGCCGAGCUGGGAGUUGAACCCCACAAGUGUGAGCCGGGGUGGGCCCGGCAGCCCCGCUGGGCACCCGCACGGCCCGGUCCCGCUGCCGGCUGCCCGGGGAGAGCAAACCGAGGGCGAGCCCCAGCCUGGGCAUCGCUCCCCAGAUCUCCCCGUACCUCGUUGUGGGCUUAACGAGCUGCGUUAUCACCCAAAGACAGGGCUGGCAAAGCCCCCCCAGCUGCUCCUAAAUCACCGAUAAGCCCUGCAAAUGUAGGGCUACCCGAGGGACCAGCCCGAAGGCC
rnacentral:lncRNA from 1 species